GAUGAACGCUGGCGGCGUGCCUAAUACAUGCAAGUCGAGCGAACGGACGAGAAGCUUGCUUUUCUGAUGUUAGCGGCGGACGGGUGAGUAACACGUGGAUAACCUACCUAUAAGACUGGGAUAACUUCGGGAAACCGGAGCUAAUACCGGAUAAUAUUUUGAACCGCAUGGUUCAAAAGUGAAAGACGGUCUUGCUGUCACUUAUAGAUGGAUCCGCGCUGCAUUAGCUAGUUGGUAAGGUAACGGCUUACCAAGGCAACGAUGCAUAGCCGACCUGAGAGGGUGGUCGGCCACACUGGAACUGAGACACGGUCCAGACUCCUACGGGAGGCAGCAGUAGGGAAUCUUACGCAAUGGGCGAAAGCCUGACGGAGCAACGCCGCGUGAGUGAUGAAGGUCUUCGGAUCGUAAAACUCUGUUAUUAGGGAAGAACAUAUGUGUAAGUAACUGUGCACAUCUUGACGGUAGCUAAUCAGAAAGCCACGGCUAACUACGUG
rnacentral:rRNA from 1 species